rnacentral:rRNA from 1 species
UACGUAGGGUGCAGGCGUUAAUCGGAAUUACUGGGCGUAAAGCGUGCGCAGGCGGUUUGCUAAGAGAGAUGUGAAAUCCCCGGGCUUAACCUGGGAAUGGCCAUGGAAACUGGCGAACUGGAGUGUGGCAGAGGGGGGUGGAAUUCCGGGUGUAGCGGUGGAAUGCGUAGAGAUCCGGAAGAACACCGGUGGCGAAGGCGGCCUGCUGGGCAGUAGCUGACACUGAGGCGCGACAGCGUGGGGAGCAAACAGG